rnacentral:rRNA from 1 species
AGUGAACGCUGGCGGUAGGCCUAACACAUGCAAGUCGAACGGCAGCACAGUAAGAGCUUGCUCUUACGGGUGGCGAGUGGCGGACGGGUGAGGAAUACAUCGGAAUCUACUUUUUCGUGGGGGAUAACGUAGGGAAACUUACGCUAAUACCGCAUACGACCUACGGGUGAAAGCAGGGGAUCUUCGGACCUUGCGCGAUUGAAUGAGCCGAUGUCGGAUUAGCUAGUUGGCGGGGUAAAGGCCCACCAAGGCGACGAUCCGUAGCUUGUCUGAGAGGAUGAUCAGCCACACUGGAACUGAGACACGGUCCCGACUCCUACGGGAGGCAGCAGUGGGGAAUAUUGGACAAUGGGCGCAAGCCUGAUCCAGCCAUACCGCGUGGGUGAAGAAGGCCUUCGGGUUGUAAAGCCCUUUUGUUGGGAAAGAAAAGCAGCAGGUUAAUACCCCGCUGUUCUGACGGUACCCAAAGAAUAAGCACCGGCUAACUUCGUG